rnacentral:rRNA from 1 species
GACAGAGGUCCCGAGCGUUAGGCGGAAUCACUGGGCUUAAAGCGUGUGUAGGCGGACGGGUAAGUACCUUGUGAAAUCCCACGGCUCAACCGUGGAACUGCUUGGUAUACUGCCUGUCUUGAGCCAGCUAGGGGCAACCGGAAUAAAUGGUGGAGCGGUGAAAUGCGUAGAUAUCAUUUGGAACGCCAAUGGUGAAAACAGGUUGCUGGGGCUGUGCUGACGCUGAGACACGAAAGCUAGGGGAGCAAACGGG